GAUGAACGCUGGCGGCGUGCCUAAUACAUGCAAGUCGAGCGAAUGGAUUGAGAGCUUGCUCUUAUGAAGUUAGCGGCGGACGGGUGAGUAACACGUGGGUAACCUGCCCAUAAGACUGGGAUAACUACGGGAAACUGGGGCUAAUACCGGAUAACAUUUUGAACCGCAUGGUUCGAAAUUGAAAGGCGGCUUCGGCUGUUACUUAUGGAUGGACCGGCGUCGCAUUAGCUAGUUGGUGCGGUAACGGCUCACCAAGGCAACGAUGCGUAGCCGACCUGAUAGGGUGAUCGGCCACACUGGUACUGAGACACGGCCCAGACUCCUACGGGAGGCAGCAGUAGGCAAUCUUCCGCAAUGGACGAAAGUCUGACGGAGCAACGCCGCGUGAGUGAUGAAGGCUUUCGGGUCGUAAAACUCUGCUGUUAGGGAAGAACAAGUGCUAGUUGAAUAAGCUGGCACCUUGCCGGUACCUAACCAGAAAGCCACGGCUAACUACGUGCCAGCAGCCGCCGUAA
rnacentral:rRNA from 1 species